UGGGGAAUUUUGGGCAAUGGGGGAAACCCUGACCCAGCAACGCCGCGUGAAGGAUGAAGUAUUUCGGUAUGUAAACUUCGAAAGAAUAGGAAGAAUAAAUGACGGUACUAUUUAUAAGGUCCGGCUAACUACGUGCCAGCAGCCGCGGUAAUACGUAGGGACCAAGCGUUGUUCGGAUUUACUGGGCGUAAAGGGCGCGUAGGCGGCAUGACAAGUCACUUGUGAAAUCUCUGGGCUUAACCCAGAACGGCCAAGUGAUACUGUCGCGCUAGAGUGCAGAAGGGGCAAUCGGAAUUCUUGGUGUAGCGGUGAAAUGCGUAGAUAUCAAGAGGAACACCUGAGGUGAAGACGGGUUGCUGGGCUGACACUGACGCUGAGGCGCGAAAGCCAGGGGGAGCAAACGGGAUUAGAUACCCACGUAGUCCCUGAGCGGGCUGGCAAGGCGCAU
rnacentral:rRNA from 1 species